AGAGUUUGAUCCUGGCUCAGAUUGAACGCUGGCGGCAUGCCUUACACAUGCAAGUCGAACGGUAACAGGUCUUCGGAUGCUGACGAGUGGCGAACGGGUGAGUAAUACAUCGGAACGUGCCCGAUCGUGGGGGAUAACGGAGCGAAAGCUUUGCUAAUACCGCAUACGAUCUACGGAUGAAAGCAGGGGACCGCAAGGCCUUGCGCGGACGGAGCGGCCGAUGGCAGAUUAGGUAGUUGGUGGGAUAAAAGCUUACCAAGCCGACGAUCUGUAGCUGGUCUGAGAGGACGACCAGCCACACUGGGACUGAGACACGGCCCAGACUCCUACGGGAGGCAGCAGUGGGGAAUUUUGGACAAUGGGCGCAAGCCUGAUCCAGCCAUGCCGCGUGCAGGAUGAAGGCCUUCGGGUUGUAAACUGCUUUUGUACGGAACGAAAAGACUCUGGUUAAUACCUGGGGUCCAUGACGGUACCGUAAGAAUAAGCACCGGCUAACUACGUGCCANCAGCCGCGGUAAUACGUAGGGUGCAAGCGUUAAUCGGAAUUACUGGGCGUAAAGCGUGCGCANGCGGUUAUGUAAGACAGAUGUGAAAUCCCCGGGCUCAACCUGGGAACUGCAUUUGUGACUGCAUAGCUAGAGUACGG
rnacentral:rRNA from 1 species